AGGUUUAAGCGAUUCUCCUGCCUCAGCCUCCCAAGUAGCUGGGAUUACAGAAACUAUAAGCAUUGAAAGGAAUGCUGGGGCCUCCAAAAUCUGCAAUUACAUUUCUCGUAAAUGGCAACUCAUUGUCAUCCUGCAGACAUUGAUUAAACCACAGGACGGGGUCUGAACCGGGAACACUUGCAGGUUAACAGCAACAACAUCCAUCCCAACAGAAUCACCCCCAUCGCAGUGA